AACGUAGGAGACGAACGUUAUCCGGAGUUACUGGGCGUAAAGGGCGUGUAGGUGGUAGUGUAAGUCUGGCGUGAAAUUUUUCGGCUUAACCGGGAAAGGUCGUCGGAUACUGCACAACUAGAGGACGGUAGAGGCGUGUGGAAUUCCGGGUGUAGUGGUGAAAUGCGUAGAGAUCCGGAGGAACACCAGUGGCGAAGGCGACACGCUGGGCCGUACCUGACACUGAUGCGCGACAGCAUGGGGAGCAAACAGG
rnacentral:rRNA from 1 species